rnacentral:rRNA from 1 species
ACCCGUUGAUCCUGCGGGAGAUUGCUGCUAUUGGGAUUCGACUAAGCCAUGCAAGUCAGAGUGCUUUCGGGUGCUCGGCAAAAUGCUCAGUAACACGUCAAUAAUCUGCCCUUAGGUCGAGGAUAACCUUGGGAAACUGAGGAUAAGACUCGAUAGGAAUUUUGCUUUGGAAUAACUUUUUUCUGAAACGCAAGGCCUAAGGAUGAGUUGGCGGCUGAUUAGGCUGUUGGCGGGGUAACGGCCCACCAAACCAUCGAUCGGUACGGGCCCUGAGAGGGGUAGCCCGGAGAAGGACACUGAGAUACUGGUCCUAGCCCUACGGGGUGCAGCAGGCGCGAAACCUUUACAAUGCACGAAAGUGUGAUAGGGGAAUCUCAAGUGCUUACACUAAGUGUAGGCUUUUUUCUAAGGGUAAGGACCUUGGAGAAUAAGUGGUGGGAAAGACUGGUGCCAGCCGCCGCGGUAACACCAGCGCCACAAGUGGGGAUCAGUUUUAUUGGGCCUAAAGCGUCCGUAGCCGGUUUUGUAAAUCUUUUGUGAAAUCGAGCAACUUAAUUGUUCGGCGUGCAGAAGACACUGCAAAACUUGGGACCGGAAGGGGGUAGGAGUAUUUUUAGGGGAGCGGUAAAAUGCUAUAAUCCUAAGAAGACUACCUGUGGCGAAGGCGCCUACCCAGUACGGAUCCGACGGUGAGGGACGAAAGCCAGGGGAGCGAACCGGAUUAGAUACCCGAGUAGCCCUGGCUGUAAACGUUGCGAGCUAGGUGUUGCGCAUUCUUCGAGAAUGCGCAGUGUCGAAGCGAAGGUGUUAAGCUCGCCGCCUGGGAAGUAUAGUCGCAAGACCGAAACUUAAAGGAAUUGGCGGGGGAGCACCACAAGGGGUGCGGCGUGCGGUUUAAUCUAACUCAACACAGAGAAUCUCACCAGAUGCGACGGCAGGAUGAUUGUCAGUCUAACGGGCUUACAGGACGAGCCGAGAGGUAGUGCAUGGCCGCCGUCAGCUCGUGCCGUAAGGUGUCCUCUUAAGUGAGGCAACGAGCGAGACCUGUACCUACAAUUGCCAUCGGGCGUUUCGUCGUGACCGAGCACAUUGUAGGGACUGCCUUGGAAACAAGGAGGAAGGUGCAGGCUACGGUAGGUCUGUAUGCUCCGAAUCUUCUGGGCUACACGCGCGCAACAAUGGUAGGGACAAUGGGAUGCGACUCCGAGAGGAGAAGCUAAACCUCGAAACCCUAUCUAAGUUCGGAUUGAGGCUUGUAUCUCAGCCUCAUGACGCCGGAAUCCCUAGUAAUCGGAUGUCAUCAACGUCCAGUGAAUAUGUCCCUGCUCCUUGCACACACCGCCCGUCAAACCAACCGAGCAGGGUUUAGAUGAGUCUUAGUCUAACUGAUUAAGCCGAAUCUAAGCUCAGUAAGGUGGGUUAAGUCGUCACAAGGUA